rnacentral:rRNA from 4 species
ACUCCUACGGGAGGCAGCAGUGGGGAAUAUUGCACAAUGGGCGCAAGCCUGAUGCAGCCAUGCCGCGUGUAUGAAGAAGGCCUUCGGGUUGUAAAGUACUUUCAGCGGGGAGGAAGGGAGUAAAGUUAAUACCUUUGCUCAUUGACGUUACCCGCAGAAGAAGCACCGGCUAACUCCGUGCCAGCAGCCGCGGUAAU